GGUUUCUGGAGGAAGGUUCGUCCGCUCCAGGUUAGUCGGGAGCUAAGGUGAGGCCGGAAGGCGUAGCCGAUGCACAGACGGUAGAGAUUCCGUCACCACCAAAAGAGUUAAGCACAGGGACACAUAUGAAGUCUCAGAGCCGGGUGUUGGUUCCGGUAGAGAUCGAGGGAAGUUAGUACCGAAGUCUGAGAUGGAAGAUGGCGAGAAAAGCUGUGUGUAUUUCUGAGGUGCCCGUACCGCAAACCGACACAGGUAGGUAGGAAGAAGAUUCUAAGGCCAACGGGAGAAGGGUUGUUAAGGAACUCGGCAAAUUGACCCCGUAACUUCGGGAGAAGGGGUGCUCCAGAGAUGGAGCCGCAGAGAAUCGGCCCAAGCAACUGUUUACCAAAAACACAGGUUUGUGCUAAAUCGAAAGAUGACGUAUACGAGCUGACGCCUGCCCGGUGCUGGAAGGUUAAGAGGAGAUGUGCAAGCAUUGAAUCGAAGCCCCAGUGAACGGCGGCCGUAACUAUAACGGUCCUAAGGUAGCGAAAUUCCUUGUCAGGUAAGUUCUGACCCGCAUGAAAGGCGUAAUGAUUUGGGCACUGUCUCAACAGCCCGCCCGGCGAAAUUGUAGUACCGGUGAAGAUGCCGGUUACCCGCGACAAGACGGAAAGACCCCAUGGAGCUUUACUGUAGCCUAAUAUUGGGUUUCGAUGUUGCAUGCACAGGAUAGAUGGGACACUGGGAAACAAUCGCUUUGGCGGUUGCGGAGUGGCCGUUGGGAUACCAUCCUUGCGAUAUUGGAAUUCUAACCUGCGGCUCUGAAUCGAGUCGGGGGACAUUGUUAGGUGGGCAGUUUGACUGGGGCGGUCGCCUCCUAAAGAGUAACGGAGGCGUUCAAAGGUUCGCUCAGCUUGAACGGAAAUCAAGCAAAAGAGUGCAAACGCAGAAGCGAGCCUAACUGCGAGACUGACGGGUCGAGCAGUAACGAAAGUUGGAGUUAGUGAUCCGGUGGUAUGUGAGUGGAAAUGCCAUCGCUCAACGGAUAAAAGCUACCCUGGGGAUAACAGGCUGAUCUCCCCCAAGAGUCCACAUCGACGGGGAGGUUUGGCACCUCGAUGUCGGCUCAUCGCAUCCUGGGGCUGUAUUCGGUCCCAAGGGUUUGGCUGUUCGCCAAUUAAAGCGGUACGCGAGCUGGGUUCAGAACGUCGUGAGACAGUUCGGUCCCUAUCUGUCGUGGGCGCAGGAUAUUUGAUGGGAGCUGUCCCUAGUACGAGAGGACCGGGACGGACGUACCUCUGGCGCACCAGUUGUUCCGCCAGGAGCAUAGCUGGGCAACUACGUACGGAUCGGAUAAACGCUGAAAGCAUCUAAGCGUGAAGCCGACCCAAAGAUAAGAUAUCCCAUUGUUUCAAACAAGUAAGACCCCUUGAAGACUACAAGGUUGAUAGGCACGAUGUGUAAGUGGAGCGAUCCAUUCAGCAAGCGUGUACUAAUAGGUCGAGGGCUUGACCAC
rnacentral:rRNA from 1 species